rnacentral:rRNA from 1 species
AUUGAACGCUGGCGGCAGGCCUAACACAUGCAAGUCGAGCGGAUGAGAAGAGCUUGCUCUUCGAUUCAGCGGCGGACGGGUGAGUAAUGCCUAGGAAUCUGCCUGGUAGUGGGGGGCAACGUUUCGAAAGGAACGCUAAUACCGCAUACGUCCUACGGGAGAAAGCAGGGGACCUUCGGGCCUUGCGCUAUCAGAUGAGCCUAGGUCGGAUUAGCUAGUUGGUGAGGUAAUGGCUCACCAAGGCGACGAUCCGUAACUGGUCUGAGAGGAUGAUCAGUAAAACUGGAACUGCGACACGGUCCAGACGCCUACGGGGGGCAGAAGUGGGGAAUAUUGGACAAUGGGCGAAAGCCGGAUCCAGCCAUGCCGGGUGUGUGAAGAAGGUCUUCGGAUUGUAAAGCACUUUAAGUUGGGAGGAAGGGCAGUAAGUUAAUACCUUGCUGUUUUGACGUUACCGACAGAAUAAGCACCGGCUAACUCUGUGCCAGCAGCCGCCGUAACAC